rnacentral:rRNA from 1 species
AGAGGGUGACAAUCCCGUCUGUGAUCCAGUCAGCGGUCUAUCGUGUAAGCUACCUUCAAGAGUCGGGUUGUUUGGGAAUGCAGCCCUAAGCUGGUGGUAAAUUCCAUCUAAGGCUAAAUAUUCGUGAGAGACCGAUAGCGAACAAGUACCGUGAGGGAAAGUUGAAAAGCACUCUGGAGAGAGAGUCAAACAGCACGUGAAAUUGUUAACAGGGAAACGUUGGGCACCAGUACGCGCCUCGCGUAAAAUCAACCAUCUCUUCCCCAAGGGUAUACGUCUGAGUGGAUGAGCCUUAAAAAGCCAUUGCUCAGUCGUUGCCUGAGGGGGGUGGUGCACUUUUGCGUGGGCGGGUCAACAUCAGUUAGGACCGUCGGAAAAUCCUCAAGGGAAGGUAGGUAUCGGAUUCGUCUGGUACAACUUAUAGCCCUUGUUGAACGCGACGAUUCUGACUGUGGAGUCGCGACUCGUGCUUCCUUCGGGAGGCAGGCCCCCAGGGCUCUCAUUCUCCGCCGGGGCUAGACAGCUUGCUGACUAGUCUUGGUCUGGAGGAUGAUGUGGUCAGGGUAGGGUUCUAGCGAGUCUCGGACGUUGGCGAAAUGGUUCUCAACGACCCGUCUUGAAACACGGACCAAGGAGUCUAACAUGUGUGCGAGUAUUUGGGUGAC